rnacentral:tRNA from 1 species
AACGUAGUGGCACAGUGGUUUGAGUGUUGGACUAUGACUCUGGAGACCAGAGUUCGAUUCCCAGCUCGGCCA